GGGAGCGGAUUCCAGAAUGGGGGGUGAACCGGGGCCUCCUAAGCCCCAGGCCGCCGGUUCGAUUCCGGCCGGGCGCGCCA
rnacentral:tRNA from 1 species